UUCUAUUAGAAAUCAUUAAUAGUAAAAUCUGCUCCAUGUYUAAUAAAUAGCCGCAAUUUGUGCUAAGGUAGCAUAAUCAUUUGUCUUUUAAAUGAAGACUAGAACAAAAGAUUUAACAUUUUCAGUUUAUUUACCUAACCUACCUAAUCAAAUUUAUCCUAAAUGUAAAAAGACAUUUAUUUAAAAGAAAGACGAUAAGACCCUAUUGAACUUAACUGUAGUUAAACUGGGGCAGUAAAUUAAUUAUUAUUUUAAUAUAUAUUAUUAUAUAAAUAUCUAAUAAUAUUAAAUAAUUAAGUUACCAUAGGGAUAACAGCGUAAUAAUUUUCUAAAGAUCUUAUUUAAAAUAAAGAUUACGACCUCGAUGUUGAAUUAAUAACCUAAUUAAGGCAAAACUUAAAAAAGGAGGUCUGUUCGACUUUUAAAAAAUUACAUGAUUUGAGUUCAGACCGGUGUAAGCCAGGUCGGCUUCUAUCUUCUAAAAAAUUUUUUACAGUACGAAAGGACCUAAAAAUCUAAUA
rnacentral:rRNA from 1 species